rnacentral:miRNA from 1 species
GCCCGGAGAGCUGGGAGCCAG